GUACUUGCUUCAGCAGCACAUAUACCAAAAUUAUAAUGCUACAGAGAAAUUAGCAUCGUCCCUGUAUAAAGAUGACACAAAAAUUCAUCAAUAUUUUAUAUUUUUAU